CACGGACUCAACCGGCAGUUCAACUGUCUAGCUGUUUUGGCGGUGUAGCGACGCCGGGUGCAGGAGGAUCGACUAUGGCUUCACAGUCCAGCGACAGUCAAAGACGUGUCCCUACAGAAAAGAUUCUUCACGCUAGAAAUAAGAUGGAGCUGGGACUGAGGCUUUUGGAGAAGAUUAGAAAAAACAUACAGACAACGAUGAAAUCUCCGCGAAUACAGGCCUAUUGCUGAGGUCGCUCAUGAUAGUGAUUCUCAACCCAGGCAAGAGAAAAAUCAGAACCCAAGUGAAAAUGCAGACUGGCAACCACAGCGUAAGAAGAAGGCGAGUUCUUGUGGAAAA